rnacentral:rRNA from 1 species
UACAGAGGUCUCAAGCGUUGUUCGGAUUCAUUGGGCGUAAAGGGUGCGUAGGCGGCGCGGUAAGUCGGGUGUGAAAUCUCGGGGCUUAACUCCGAAACUGCAUUCGAUACUACCGUGCUUGAGGACUGGAGAGGAGACUGGAAUUUACGGUGUAGCGGUGAAAUGCGUAGAUAUCGUAAGGAAGACCAGUGGCGAAGGCGGGUCUCUGGGCCGAAACUGACGCUGAGGAGCGAAAGCGUGGGGAGCAAACAGG